GAUGAACGCUGGCGGCGUGCCUAAUACAUGCAAGUCGAGCGAACAGACGAGGAGCUUGCUCCUCUGACGUUAGCGGCGGACGGGUGAGUAACACGUGGAGAACCUACCUAUAAGACUGGGAUAACUUCGGGAAACCGGAGCUAAUACCGGAUAAUAUAUUGAACCGCAUGGUUCAAUAGUGAAAGACGGUUUUGCUGUCACUUAUAGAUGGAUCCGCGCCGCAUUAGCUAGUUGGUAAGGUAACGGCUUACCAAGGCAACGAUGCGUAGCCGACCUGAGAGGGUGAUCGACCACACUAGAACUGGGACACGGUCCAGACUCCUACGGGAGGCAGCAGUAGGGAAUCUUCCGCAAUGGGCGAGAGCCUGACGGAGCAACGCCGCGUGAGUGAUGAAGGUCUUCGGAUCGUAAAACUCUGUUAUUAGGGAAGAACAAAUGUGUAAGUAACUAUGCACGUCUUGACGGUACCUAAUCAGAAAGCCACGGCUAACUACGUG
rnacentral:rRNA from 1 species